rnacentral:lncRNA from 1 species
AUGCCCAUACAUCCUUAGAGCGAGAGUGCACUCUGGUGAUGCAUUACACCAAUACAUCAUGGACACAGAGUUUGCUCGGGUGAUGUAUGAGUGCCCUGAGAAUGUAUUUCUCAAAUGGUAGUAUUGUUCAGGGACAAAGCCUAGCCAAAGAGUAGAUUCAAUUUAAUUACAGUGCAAGUGGUAGUCCAAUCCUAGGAGGCACUUUGGCAUCUGAAUGUUGGCACCCUAAAGAAAUAUAGGUUGCUGUUGCUUGUGCCAUUGAGUUACAUCCCAAUGUGCCACAUUUUUUAAAUCUUUUUUUUUUUUUUGCAGGGAGGAAGGAGCACAGGUUCAACAGCUGUUCUGGGCAAAAGGCGGGCAGUCUUUGGAAAAACAGUUUUGGAAGAAAAAGCCAUGAUGGAUGCAGGAUGAAUAGCCAGUCAUAUCCUGUACACAAGAGAAACUAGUGUCUGUGCAAGAGGAACUGGUCCCUAGUCUUCAGGGUAAACAAUCUGUGCAAAUUCCUUCUUGUACACUUAGGAUUGUAGAAUCAUAGAAUCUUAGAGCUGGAAGGGGGUCAUCUAGUCCAACCCCCUGCAACGCAGGAGGAAGCUCUUCUAUAAGCAACCAAUAACCUCUGGUGGUAUGCUGCUGUUACUUUGGUUGUGUAUAUAAUAGCCUGCUCAUUUCUGCUUCCUUACUCCAUCAGUGAAGAUAAUUAUGAGCUAACACAGCCAUAGGCAAACUCAGCCCCCCAGAUGUUUUGGGACUACAACUCCCACGAUCCCUUGCUAACAGGACCAGUGGUCAGGGAUGGUGGGAAUUGUAGUCCCAAAAACAUAUGGAGGGCGAGUUUGCCUAUGCCUGAGCUAACACCGGUCCUAAAGUAUAUGGCCAUAACUAAUACAGUAAUGCAUUUUGGCUGAGGAACUGCUGUUAUUGACAGUGAGGUUAUGAGUCCUUUAAAACUUACUCCAGUAAACGGAACCAGUACUUUAUUUUGAGUGAUAUAAAUACCAUGCCUUGAUUUUAAGAGGGACAACCUGGAACAAAGGAACUUAAAACCAUUUAUUUAGGACUGAAUUGCAACAACGGCUUCCUGUUGCACUAUGCUAAAGGUAUUUACCUGGCAGUGAUGGGAAUGAUUCUGUUGUAUCACCGAUUGCUACUCCAGUGAAGGGUCACUGUGCUUGUUUCGUAUGCAUUUAUGCUCUAAUUGUAUUGUCCCUUUUCUCAGCAAUGCUAAGAUGGUUGUCUUAUCACCAGAUUUGUACGGCUGCUGCGAAGGUUCAUUUGGCAUACAUUUAAACGCUAACUGAAUUCUCACAGACUGUGCUUUUGCAUUCCAUUGCCACGUGACUCAGGCCUUUAUGCACACACACCUGGGAGGUAACUGAGGGUCACACCCUGUGCAUCUGAUGAAAUGGUCUCUAGUCUAUGAAAGCCAAUGCCAUUAUAAAAUGUGUUAGUCUGUAAAAUUUGUUGGUUUCACUGCAACUGACAUGGCGAUCCCUGUGGAAAUUUGCCUUGGCUUCCAGAACAUUCCACUUCCAGGUAAUUUACCCUGAAGUCAUACCCCCCCCCAAACAAAAUGAAAGCACCCAUGACAUGAUGUCCUUUUUCAUUGUGAAUAAUCAUUUGGGUGAGUGAGUUGCAAUGGCUUUCAUUCUGGCUCCUGUUCUGUUCCCUCACCCUUCCUGGACAUUGUUUUCCCUUUAUUAGCCAACGGUUCUAUAGGCAAAGAUAUGCAGUAUCUCCUGGGGAAAGAAAGGAAGGAAGGAAGAAAGGAAGGAAGGAAGGAGAGAAAGAAAGACCUUCUUUGAAAUCCUCUCCACCUUAAAAAUGGGUCCUUCUCUAUUUACCGGUACUAGGCAUGUUCUAAAUUGUUCUUUGUUUUAUUAACCUAUGCAAUUUUACACCUUGUGCACUCCUUCUUGCCUCUGUGCAUUAUUCUGGUCUUGGAUAUUUAUUCUUAGUUAAAUGGUAAGUGCCAGGUACACAAGGUUCUGUUCUCUGGCUUCUACCCCCUACCCCAACACAGCAGCACGUAGCUCACUAGUAGCGGCUGCUAUAAGUCUUCUUGAUGCACUGUAUUGUUAAGCCAUUAGACUUUGGUUUUGCAAGAGACGCACAGAAAACGCUUUCCCCUCCCCACCUCCUCCAGCUUUUGUGUGACCUGAAAUGUAGGUUCCGCUAGCAGUGAACUCAAUCACGGUUCUCUCCUAGGCUGCUAUUAAACCUUGGCUCUAACCAUCCAAGAAAUUAAUCUCCAAUGCCCAACCUCUCCUGGUCCCUACUGUGCUCUGUAGCAGCUGCACACCACCUUUGAUCCCCAACGGCAUGACUUCAUCCAUAAACCUACGUAUCUUGCUGUGACUAUUGAACCUCUUCCUACAGUCUGUUGUAAGUAAGGGCCAGGAGAAUCUUCAGGACUUUGGUGUUUUACAUGUGUCUGCCUCAAUCAUAGUUUACUUUUACUCUGGGUUUUAAAAAAUAGAAAGGAAGUCAAGGGCUUCUCUUUCCUCCCCCAAGCCCUAUCCUGGUCAGAUUCUUUGAUACAGAUGAUAACUUCCACAAUACAGGGAGGCAAAGAGGAGCCAAAAAGCUCCCACGUUUUUAUUAGAUAUUGGAUGCAAAUUUCAUUGGGAUCCCUGAUGGUGACUAUGUGUCUUUUACUCCAAAACCUUCUUUUAGUUUAAAAUGUUAUGAUCCUACCCAGGAAGUGAGUAUUUACAUGUUUAGGCCUUCAGAUAAAGGUAUUAUGGAACUAAUAAUAACAACAGCCAUUUGUCUAGUACGGUUAAACCCAUUUCACACAUCUCAGUAAUCCUUACAAUGGGCCUGUAAGGAGUUGUUUAUUAUUCCCAUUUUACAGAUGGACUAUUGAGAUGGAAUGAUCAUGGCUUGCCAAAUUCAUGGUAGAGGCAAGAACCAAACUGGUGACAUUUGGGUUCACAGCAUGCUCCUAACCAUGUCUACUCAGAGGUAAGUCUGAUUGAAUUCAUGGGCUUGACAACCAGAUAAGUGGAGUUAGGAUUGCAGUUGCCUAAGUUUAUUACUUUUACAGUUUUAGAAACCAAUUCUCAGUUCCCAACGAGAUUAAAAACAACAUUAAAAAGCAAGAUUCAUCCAAAGAGCCCAACCAGUGGAAGGCUUGCGCAAGGACAUUGGCUUGUACAAAAGGGCUUUGCUCUUGUACCUCCGAAAUUAGCUCUGGGGAGGUUCUGCAGAACCCCCUGGGCAGCACAAGUGGGGAGGAAACUGAAAUGAAUUGUACAGAUGGCAUAUUCAUAUUGGUGUGAUGGUGAAUCCAACCCAAUAAAUCCAUCCCUACAAAUGUACAAUUCAUAUUUCAUAAAGGACACCUCAGGGAAAGCCUUCUUAAUCAAAAAGGAGUUUUUCUUUUUCUUUUGCCAUUAUAUGCUACAAUUUUUCUAGUCCUUCGAUGGGAAAAUUGCCACUCUGGGGGGAAGAAAGGAGCUUCCAGAGAACAGCUGAAUUCACAGUGAGCACAUCUGCAUGACCAGGUUUGGUUUUAAACAAGAAUGCUAAGUUAAGAGAUUUUUUGGGCACAUGGCUUCACUUUUUUUGGCUGUUGUGUGAUGUCGAGGUCCCACCUUGCAAAAAUUCUCCUUUAAUUACUUCUAGGGAAGCAAGAUCCAGUUGGUAAACUCUGCAGCUCGAGGACAACUUUUCUUGCCAAGCAUGCAUUACCAAAGACUAAUUGUUAGCAUGGUGCACCUGCCUGCUCCCCUGGUAGGUAGAGCCAAUGAGAGGGGGGAAAGGUAAUUUAUUAAUGAUCAAGUCACAACUAGCAAUGAAAACAAUAGGAGUGUCUGCAGGCAGCACUGCUGGGGGCAGAGGUGCAGGUGCUUUGUGCCCUAAAUGGGAGAGUCGGCAUAUUUUUUUAUGAAGCUUGUUUGUAGCCCUUUCUCCAUUUCCUUCUGCUCUGUGCAUGCUCCCUUCCCUUCUCCAAAUGUUUUGCCUUCACAACAGGCUCAGCAUUCUUGCUUGGGGUGAUAAAAUAGCUGUCAACUUGAGCAUGGAGGAAAAGCACAGAAGCGAAAACACACACACACACAUGCACCAAACAACAACAAAAUAGCUGUAAAGACCAAAUGAAUUGGAGCUGAAUUUCCAUUGAAACAAGUGAUUUGUAUUGAGGCUACUAAUGUGGUACGUACAGCUAAAAAGGAAAAUGGCGAAAGAAUGCUUAUAGCUGUGGACACCUUUGAGGGGUUAAGGGCUACUUUCAGUCAGUGACUUAUUCUUUUUGUGAGAUUUGCUACAAAGUUUACUAGUAUGGAU